AGGAAGCUGAUCAUUCCUUCUCUGUAAAUGAAAGUGAAAGAGAUUUAAAGCCAGGGUCGCCAUUUUAGCAAAAAGAACGAAAAAGAUUCUGGGAGGAUUUAAAGAUAUUUGCUUUGCAAGUUAAACUGAAACUACAGCAAAAACUUGAUUCAAGUGACUUUACUUCUAAGUGGAUUUUCAGUAUAAGAGAGGAAAGCAUGGCAUGCAUGGAUGGAUUUGGAGAUGACUUCUGUUCACUUUUUGAAUUCCUUUUGGAACAUGACAACACAUGGAGCGAUAGUAGGACGUACAUCAUGUACCAUGGUACCACAGGAACAGCCGCAUUAUAUAUUAAAAAGCACGGAUUUCAGCAGUCCAGUGAUGGCAUGCUUGGACCUGGAGUCUAUGUCAGUCGGAGCUUUGAGAAGGCCCAAAGAUACCCAAUAAAUCUACCCUUCAACGAACAGCAAGCUGUACUCAAGCUGAGGGUUCAAGUAGGAAAAGUAAAGAAGAUCGACAAGCAGGGACACCCCCUCCAA